rnacentral:rRNA from 1 species
CCUACGGGUGGCAGCAGUGAGGAAUAUUGGUCAAUGGUCGGGAGACUGAACCAGCCAAGCCGCGUGAGGGAGGAAGGUACAGAGUAUCGUAAACCUCUUUUGUCAGGGAACAAAGGCGGGGACGUGUCCCCGGAUGAGUGUACCUGAAGAAAAAGCAUCGGCUAACUCCGUGCCAGCAGCCGCGGUAAUACGGAGGAUGCGAGCGUGAUCCGGAUUUAUGGGGGGUAAGGGGUGCGCAGGCGGUCUGUUAAGUCAACGGGCAAAGCCCGGGGCUCAACCCCGGCCCGCCGUUGAAACUGGCAGUCUCGAGUUGGAGAGAGGUAUGCGGAAUGCGCGGUGUAGCGGUGAAAUGCAUAGAUAUCGCGCAGAACUCCGAUUGCGAAGGCAGCAUGCCGGCUCCACACUGACGCUGAGGCACGAAAGCGUGGGUAUCGAACAGGAUUAGAUACCCUAGUAGUC